rnacentral:rRNA from 1 species
AGAACGAACGCUGGCGGCGUGGAUAAGACAUGCAAGUCGAACGGAAUAAUUUGGUAGCAAUAUUAAAUUAUUCAGUGGCGAACGGGUGCGUAACACGUGGAUACAUGCCGGGAAGCGAGGGAUAGCCCAGGGAAACUUGGAUUAAUACCUCAUGUGGUCGCAAGACUAAAGGCGGGGUAACCUGCCACUUCCUGAUUGGUCCGCGGCCUAUCAGCUUGUUGGUGAGGUAAUGGCUCACCAAGGCUACGACGGGUAGCUGGUCCGAGAGGAUGACCAGCCACACUGGAACUGAGACACGGUCCAGACACCUACGGGUGGCAGCAGUCGAGAAUCUUUCACAAUGGGGGCAACCCUGAUGGAGCGACGCCGCGUGGAGGAUAAGGUCUUCGGAUUGUAAACUCCUGUCAUGCGAGAGCAAGACUUGUGGCUAACUCCUGCAAGUUUGAUAGUAUCGCAAGAGGAAGAGACGGCUAACGUCUAGUGACCAGCAA